rnacentral:tRNA from 13 species
AUCUCAUGCCGGGAGUCGAACCCGGGCCGCCUGGGUGAGCCAGAAAUCCUGACCGCUGGACCACAUCGGA